AGCCCCACGUCACGCGGCCUGCUCCAGGCAGCUGUGCUCUUCUUCUUCCGUCUGUAACCAGCUCCAGUCUAGGGCCUGAAAGUCAACAGACAUGUUAAAAAAACAACAGCCACCAACACAUUUCAGGUUAUUUUUCCUCUUCAGGAGGAAAUCAGGACAAUUGAGAAAUAUACUAAAACCCAGCCAGGCACAGUGGCUCAUGCCUAUAAUCCCAACACUUUGGGAGGCCAAGGUGGGCAGAUCAUGAGGUCAGGAGUUCGAGACCAGCCUGGCCAAAAUGGUGAAACCCCAUUUCUACUAAAAAUACAAAAUUAGCCAGGCGUGGUGGCAAGCUCCUAUAGUCCCAGCUACUCAGGAGGCUGAGGCAGGAGAAUCACUUGAACCUGGGAGGUAGGGGUUGCAGUGAGCUGAGAUCGUGCCAUUGCACUCCACCCUGGGCAAAAGAGCAAGACUCCAUCUCAAAAAAUAAAAAAUAAAAAGAAAUAUAUUGAAACCCCUUUAUUGGCUGGGUAUGGUGGCUCAUGCCUAUAGUUCCAGCACUUUGGGAGGCAGAGGCGAGCGGAUCGCUUGAGGCCAGGAGUUCAAGACCAGCCUGGGCAACAUAGCAAGACCCAGGCUGCAUAAAACAAAUAAAUUAAACAAAUACAAAUUAAAAAGCCAAACCCUUUUAUUAAUAAAUCUUGUGACUGCAGGGUACUCUUAAGCUAAGUUACAUAUUCAAACUGUACAGGAUCUUUUCUUUGAAUUGGCUCAGAGUCCUUGAGAUUCUGUGACUGUGGGAAUUAGAAAGUCGACGUCAGUACCACUGUGGCUCACAGCACUCACUCCCAUGCUCACUGUGGGUAGCUAAUCUCAGUUAUGGAUUUCCAGCCUCACCACAUGACUUGGCCUGAUGAGACUUCCUCUUCCUCCCACAGACAUGCAAGUAAGCAAUGAACUGAUCAAAACAUUAUCAUGCCAGGAGGAGGAGAGCAGCAAGAGAUAUAGAAUGUCCACAGACUGGAGGAGGACAUGCGACUACAUCAGCAAAGGCUGCAAUUCACAGUGGUAUCCCUUGUAAUUCUUCCAAAAGCUUAAAGUUAGGGGAGGUUAGCAAGUGAUUAGCAGGUAAAGGCCAUGUAAAGAUCUAAGCAAAUGAUGCAGGAUUCUCUCAACAAUGGAAGCUUUGUCUUAAUGUACCUGUAACUUGGCUAGUUUUCUCAUAACUAGUACUACCUACCACUAAGCUCCAAGGCCCUGAGGACAAGGCCAUGGCUGGUUCCUGCUCCCAGCCCAGCACUCAACACACAAAUACUCAGCAGUAGUACCAAUGGUGCAGGUGGGGACAGGCUUCUGGGAACAAUGCUACCUUCUUCCUCAUCAUCGGAAUUAAGUGUUCCAAGGAUUAAAUAAGAUAAUGCAUACAUGUAGUUGUAAGCCUUCAAUAAUUGUUAGACAUCACUAUUAUUAUGAAUAAUAAAAAAUGUGUACUAGAAAAUUAUAAAUAUACACUGAAAAAAUCAGCUGAAUGUGGUGACGCACGCCUGUAGUCCCAGCUACUCAGGAGGCUGAGGCAUGAGAAUCACUUGAACCCGGGAAGCGGAGGUUGCAGUGAGCCAAGAUCAUGCCACUGCACUCCAGCCUGGGUGAGAGAGAGAGACCCUGUCACAAAUAAACAAGCAAACAAACAAACACUGAGGUUGAGGAUAAUGCCAGAUUGCAUUUCCAUUUUCUCUUCUAUUUUGCCAUAGAAAGAAAGGACAUGGAAUCGCAGGAGUCUCACACAAGCUGUUACCGUGAAACUCUGGUCUUGUUCCCUCACAGUGUCCUGUAUGGCAUUUUCUAGCAGGGUGCAGAGGUUAUGUGCUUCAGCCACCAGUUCUUCACUAAAGAAAAUGAUCAAAUUAUUAGAAAGUGGUCAUUAUUAGUUAUCAGAGCUAACACUGCUAUUUUAAAAUAUGCUAGAGAGUUUUGAUAAUACUUUUUAAAUGAAGUAACAAUUAUUUUGAUCCUGAGUGUCUUAAAACACCAACCCACUGACUAAUACUUUCAUUCAUCUUGUUAUGCACUUUCCACAUAUGAGCGUUACUGUCCAAAAUGCAAAAAAGCAAACAGAUCUCAAUAAAAGUCAGAAGCAAAAAAACCUCUUUCUGCUUUCUGACUUACUAGAUAGCUGAAUUUAAUUUUCAAACUGCCAAAAUCUAAAGAUAUUCUCCAAAUCACCUGUUUUCCAAUUUUUGAAGUAGACAAAAAAAAGGCCAAGGAAUUUAUCAGGAUUCACAGUUCCUUGGAAUCUGUUGAAAAUCAAGUUCUGGGAUUUGGUUUCAUCUAAUCUGAUCUCUCUCUUUUCUAUAAUAAGAAACCCAUGUUUCCUCUGAGGACUGGGCCACAGUGAAAAAGAGCAGCAUGUAGUAAAACAUCCGUCUUUUUCUAACCUCAGCUCUAUGCUGUGGGGAGACGAGAGACAUCCUAUAUACCCAGGUCCACCUUUCUAGACCUUUGAGGACAUCACUGAAGGGAAUAAGCCACAUAAAGGAAGACUGCCCUGGAACUCCUCUCACUCUGCAAAAUGUGACAAUCUGAUGGCAGGAGCUCAGAGCACAUUUCUGCCAAGCCUCAUCUAUGGGGCCUCUAGCUAGCCUAAAGGCUCAGUGCCUGCCCCAGAAGGGAAUGGAACAGGCUCCCGGUCUAGCUACUAUACUCCAGGAGCUCAUGAGAGGUUGGGGAAAUAAUUUUUAUUUAAAAAAAAAAAAAAAAAAAAAGGGCCGGGUGCGGUGGCUCACGCCUGUAAUCCCAGCACUUUGGGAGACCAAGGCGGGCGGAUCACCCAAGGUCGGGAGUUCGAGAUCAGCCUGACCAACAGGCU
rnacentral:lncRNA from 1 species